rnacentral:rRNA from 1 species
GACGUAGGAGGCGAGCGUUAUCCGGAUUCACUGGGCGUAAAGCGCAUGUAGGCGGUUGCACAAGUCCGUCGUUAAAGCCCCUGGCUCAACUGGGGGAGGUCAAUGGAGACUGUGCGACUUGAGGGCAAUAGAGGCACGUGGAACUCCCGGUGUAGCGGUGGAAUGCGUAGAGAUCGGGAAGAACACCAGUGGCGAAGGCGACGUGCUGGGUUGCACCUGACGCUGAGAUGCGAAAGUGUGGGGAGCAAACGGG